GGAAUAUGACGUCAUAUUCCGGCUCCCGGCAUCAGCGCGCGGCGAGGGAGCUCUCUGCUCUCUGCUCCCUCUCGCCGCGCGCUGAUGCCGGGAGCCGCAGGGUGGGG